CUACGGGGGGCUGCAGUGAGGAAUAUUGCACAAUGGAGGAAACUCUGAUGCAGCAACGCCGCGUGGAGGAUGACGCAUUUCGGUGUGUAAACUCCUUUUAUAUGUCAAGAAAAUGACGGUAGCAUAUGAAUAAGCUCCGGCUAACUCCGUGCCAGCAGCCGCGGUAAUACGGAGGGAGCAAGCGUUACUCGGAAUCACUGGGCGUAAAGGACGCGUAGGCGGGAUAGAAAGUCAGGUGUGAAAUCCUAUGGCUCAACCAUAGAACUGCACUUGAAACUUCUAACCUAGAGUAUGGGAGAGGAAGAUGGAAUUAGUGGUGUAGGGGUAAAAUCCGUAGAUAUCACUAGGAAUACCUAAAGCGAAGGCGAUCUCCUGGAACAUUACUGACGCUAAGGCGUGAAAGCGUGGGGAGCAAACAGGAUUAGAUACCCGCGUAGUC
rnacentral:rRNA from 1 species